GCGGGACAUUACGCUUACUCUCAGCGGAAUUCACCCGAGAAGGCAUAUAAGUUCCUGCACUGGCCUUCACCACGAUUAGUAUAAGGUGGAGUAAUGCACGAAUGGAUAAAAAGGAGUGAGAGGUUAUCAGCUGUUGAGGAGCAAAUGGAGAUCCGUGUCCAGGGGAGUGAGGCUAUUGCGAGUGUGAAAUUUUGUCCAGGAAGUAACUAAGAAGACAUGAACAGAGAGGUGGUGAUCCUCGGUGGAGUGAUGAAGUAGAGCAGCCAGCACCCCAAGUAGAGCAGGCACUGUGGAAAAAUAGUUGUGACUCAACCAGACCAUUACAAAGUAUGGCCUGGAGGAUUUUCAUCUCAAGGUGCAAGAACAUUCUUAAUGACUGUACACGGCGGCUGCUGAUGGACAAUGUUGGGCCAGAUGUGCUACAGUUAGCGUUAAGGAGGUAUGAUCAAAGCAAGAUCGAAAACAUUUAACAU